AGGUCCGACACGCUACGCCGUCUGGGGAAUGGCCAGGCUUGAGCGCUGAAGAAGGGCGCGGCAAGCGGCGAAACGCCUCGGGUAAGCGCAUGCAGCUGUAGAACCGAGGAUGCCCGAAUGGGACCUCCCACUGCGAGUUCUUCGGAACUUGUGGUGCUUCCGCAUGGGAGCGGGAACCCCCCGAACGGAAACAUCUUAGUAGGGGGAGGAAAAGAAACCAAACGAGAUUCCCUGAGUAACAGCGAGCGAAAAGGGAAAAGUCCAAACCGAAUCUGGUAGGGAAACUUAUCGGAGAUGUAGGGUUGCGGACCCAGUCUCCUCUUCGUCAGCAAAGCCGAAGUGGCCUGAAAAGGCCUGCGAUACAGGGUGAAAGCCCCGUAGGCGUAAACUGGAAAGAGUUGGGCUGGAGUUCCAGAGUAUCGUACCUUAGUUGUGGUGCGAGAAACUAGGGGCCAUCAAUCCCUAAGACUAAAUACGCCUCAAGACCGAUAGCGCACUAGUACGGUGACGGAAAGUUGAAAAGCACCCCGGAAGGGGGGUGAAAAGAGCCUGAAACCAGACGGUAACAGACGUGUGCAGCCCGGAAGGGUAGACUCCUCCCAAAGGAACCCAUGGCAACAUGGCAGUACGAAGGAGGACGACCAGGGUUGCACGCUCCGUCUAGAAACACGGGCCGGGGAGUUCAUAGUUGUGGCAAGCUUAAGGGUAGAAAGCCUGUAAGCAGAGGGAAACCAAAACGCGCGCAACCAGCAUUAUGCUGGCGAGGCGCUGGGUCUGAAAAAGCCUGGAGUCACAACAUUGAAACUAGAAACCGGGCGAUCUAGCCCUGGGCAGGUUGAAGCCAGGCGAAAGCCUGGUGGAGGACCGAAAGGGUGCUGACGUGCAAUUCGCUCCGUUGACCUGGGGCUAGGGGCGAAAGACCAAUCUAGCCCGGUGAUAGCUAGUUCCCUCCGAAGUGGGUCGCAGCCCAGCCUCGAGUGAGACAGCCGAUGGGGUAGAGCACUGAUUGGAAAGUAAGGGGUCGAAAGAUCUCACUUUUCUUUCAAACUCCGAAUCUAUCGGCGUCGUAGACCUCGAGAGACGGGCCAUAGGGGGUAAGCCCCUAUGCCGAGAGGGGAACAACCCAGACUGUGGUUAAGGCCCCAAAGUGCUGGCUAAACGUUAAACUGAAAGGCGUCGUCAGCCCCAGACAGCGGGGAGGUAGGCUUAGAAGCAGCCACCCUUUAAAGAAAGCGUAACAGCUCACCCGCCGAGGCUGACGGCCCUGAAAAUGGACGGGACUAAGCCAGCCGCCGAAACCUCAGGGCACAACCGCACAGGUUGUGAUCCGGUAGGAGGGCGUCCCGACUGGGCAGAAGCCGGGCCGUGAGGUCCGGUGGACCGGUUCGGGAUUGAAAAUCCCGGUGGUAGUAACAGCAAAGAGGGGUGAAAAUCCCCUCCGCCGAAAGGGCCAGGGUUCCCCGGCAACGCGUCGUCAGCCGGGGGUAAGUCGGUCCUAAGGCAUGUCUUAACCGACCAUGCCGAAAGGGAAACCGGUUAAAAUUCCGGUACCACAGAGAUACACGCGGCAACGCAAGCCCAACACCCGACGCUUCGGGGUAGGCUGAGCAAGGCUGUCGCCUUGUUUAACCGUAUAAACCUGGGGAGUGCCGCAAUGGCGAGAACCAGGUGAAGGCGGGAAUAGCCGCCCGUUUUAGGGCGGUUCAGCCGAUCUCUGGAGCCCAUGAAAAGAGUUUUGGGAAGAACUCUCUGUGACCGUACCAAGAUCCGACACAGGUGUCCCUAGGCGAGAAACCUAAGGCGUGUCGGGUGCACACCAAGCGAGGGAACUCGGCAAUUUAGCCCUGUACCUUCGGUAUAAGGGGUGCCUGCAGUUUUGGCUUCGGCUGGAACCGCAGGUCGCAGUGGCAAGGGGGUCCCGACUGUUUAAUAAAAACACAGGAAGCCGCAAGCCCGAAAGGGUGUGAACGGCUUCUGAAUCCUGUCCAGUACAGGUA
rnacentral:rRNA from 1 species